rnacentral:rRNA from 1 species
GACGAACGCUGGCGGCGUGCCUAAUACAUGCAAGUCGAGCGGAACUUAGAAAGCUUGCUUUCUAAGGUUUAGCGGCGGACGGGUGAGUAACACGUGGGCAACCUGCCUAUAAGACUGGGAUAACUUCGGGAAACCGGAGCUAAUACCGGAUAAUAUAAAAGAUCACAUGGUCUUUUAUUGAAAGAUGGCUUCGGCUAUCACUUAUAGAUGGGCCCGCGGCGCAUUAGCUAGUUGGUGAGGUAAUGGCUCACCAAGGCGACGAUGCGUAGCCGACCUGAGAGGGUGAUCGGCCACACUGGGACUGAGACACGGCCCAGACUCCUACGGGAGGCAGCAGUAGGGAAUCUUCCGCAAUGGACGAAAGUCUGACGGAGCAACGCCGCGUGAGCGAUGAAGGCCUUCGGGUCGUAAAGCUCUGUUGUUAGGGAAGAACAAGUAUCGUUCGAAUGGGGCGGUACCUUGACGGUACCUAACCAGAAAGCCACGGCUAACUACGUG